rnacentral:rRNA from 1 species
UACGUAGGUGGCAAGCGUUGUCCGGAUUUACUGGGCGUAAAGGGCGUGCAGGCGGCUUGUUAAGUGCAGGGUGAAAGCUCCCGGCUCAACUGGGAGAGGUUCUUGCAUACUGGCGAGCUCGAGGGAGGCAGAGGAAAGUGGAAUUCCCGGUGUAGUGGUGAUAUGCGUAGAUAUCAGGAGGAACACCGGUGGCGAAGGCGGGUCUCUGGGCAGUAACUGACGCUGAGGAGCGAAAGCGUGGGAGCGAACAGG